rnacentral:rRNA from 1 species
UAAGUAAGCGGAGGAAAAGAAACUAAACAGGAUUCCCUCAGUAAUGGCGAAUGAACAGGGAUGAGCUCAACAUGGAAAUUGUGGCACCUCGCCAUGAAUUGUAAUCUCUCGAUGCAUUGCCAAUGGAGGCGCAGAUGUAAGCCGCUUGGAAAAGCGAUUCAUGGAGGGUGAGAUGCCCGUUUGUCAUCUGCAGUCCUCUGUGUUCGGCGUGCAUUCUAAGAGUCACGUUCCUUGGGAGUGGAGCGCAAAUUGGGUGGUAAAUUUCAUCUCAAGCUAAAUAUGGGUUCGAGACCGAUAGCAAACAAGUACCAUGAGGGAAAGAUGAAAAGGACUUUGAAAAGAGAGUUAAAAGUGCCUGAACUUGCUGAAACGAAAGCGGAUGGAACCAGUCUGCUUGGUGAGAUUGUCGCGUGCUGCAUUGAUUGUCUGCUUGCUCAGCGUAAGCGUGCUUGUAGUCUUUGACGUGUUCGCGCGUGAUGUUUCUUGCCUUGUCAGUCACUGUCAGUUGGCAGGCGAGGAUAACUCUUGGGACAUGGUAGCCUGCUUGCGGGUGGGUGAAUGUGCCUUGUAGGACUCGCUUGUGUACUGCAUUCUUUUGUUUGGCUGCGCUGCUGUGCUUUGCUGUCCUCGUGGCUCUCAGCACUGGCACCUCCCUUACAAUCCAUGGUGACGAAAUGGUUCUAUUCGACCCG